rnacentral:rRNA from 1 species
CCUACGGGAGGCAGCAGUAAGGAAUAUUGGUCAAUGGACGCAAGUCUGAACCAGCCAUGCCGCGUGAAGGAUUAAGGCCCUCUGGGUUGUAAACUUCUUUUAUAGGGGACGAAAAAAGGGCAUUCUUGCUCACUUGACGGUACUCUAGGAAUAAGCACCGGCUAACUCCGUGCCAGCAGCCGCGGUAAUACGGAGGGUGCAAGCGUUAUCCGGAUUUACUGGGUUUAAAGGGUGCGUAGGUGGGUUGGUAAGUCAGUGGUGAAAUCUUCGAGCUUAACUCGGAAACUGCCAUUGAUACUAUCAAUCUUGAAUCAUCUAGAGGUAAGCGGAAUAUGUCAUGUAGCGGUGAAAUGCUUAGAUAUGACAUAGAACACCAAUUGCGAAGGCAGCUUACUAUGGAUGUAUUGACACUGAGGCACGAAAGCGUGGGGAUCAAACAGGAUUAGAUACCCUGGUAGUCCACGCCCUAAACGAUGGAUACUCGACAUUUGUGAUAUACCUAUAAGUGUNUGAGNGAAGANAUAAGUAUACCACCGCGGUAAGGUACGACCGCGAGUAGUUAAGUUACGAAGAAGUUAGAGGCGNGAGAGNGCGACGGACGACGACGAGGGAGGAGG